UACGUAGGGUGCAAGCGUUGUCCGGAAUUAUUGGGCGUAAAGAGCUCGUAGGCGGUUUGUUGCGUCGGCUGUGAAAUCCCGAGGCUCAACCUCGGGUCUGCAGUCGAUACGAGCAAACUAGAGUGUUGCAGGGGAGACUGGAAUUCCUGGUGUAGCGGUGAAAUGCGCAGAUAUCAGGAGGAACACCGGUGGCGAAGGCGAGUCCCUGGACAACUCCUGACACUGGAGGCACGAAAGCUAGGGGAGCAAACAGG
rnacentral:rRNA from 1 species